CUUGCGUACACACACACACACACGAGAUGACAGCUUCUUUUCCACCGGGAAAAGUGGAUCUCGGUCGGCCUUCCAGAUCCUCCAUCCUCCAUUCUCCAGAUCCAUGGCCGCCGCCAUUGCACCAAAGAAAAGGCUGGUAGCCUCCACAACCUCGCCACACACGGCCAUUUUCCCCUCUGCAUCCCGCAACCGCCGUGUUAGCUGCCGUUGCAACCUCUUCAUCCACUACCAUCUGCCGCCGUGACGAUAGCAUCGUCUCGCAGGCGUGGACGGCCCUGAAGGCGGAUCUGGUGCAAGCGACGCCGUUGCUGUUUCUGCGGAUGGUGCCCAUCUUGCUGCAAGGAGCAAGCUGGUUCCUCGUGGGCGUGCUGAGGCUGGAUGGACUGGCGCAACGACUCCGGGCGUGCUCGAGGUCCUGCUUAAGCCUCCACCUAACGAUGCGCCUGGUCGAGUUUCGCCGCAUCGCACAGGCAGGAUCUCACUCUCGAUCCACUGCGUGGAGUUGUGCCGCGAAGGCCAGGGGCAGCGCGUCUCCGCCGAUCCAUUGAUGGGCCCAUCCCGCUGGGCUGCUGCGCCGUACUAGGCCCGUUACCGUUGCUUCAUCGCCGGCGCCGCUUCCGUCGCCUUGUCGGGUUUUCCUCCGACCUCGGCAGGCUGAGAGCCGCAUGUCCCACCAGGGCUUCUCGACACGCAGGUAAUACGGGCUCCAUGGAGUCUUCAUCGUUAGAGACAAGUUGCCGUUCAGGAGCAUGGUUCGAGGCGAGAUGGUUGCGAAAAUGGUGUCUCCCUCGAUGACAACGGCCGGUACAGCCGGAUCCUUUGCCACAAAGGAACGACGAUGAACCCCGGUUGACGUAUGGCGAGCACCGCUGACGCUCGAGGAGCUGGAGAGUAGCUUAGUAUUCUCCAGGAUGCUUGUAAUUUUUAGUUUUUAGGAUUUUCUUGCUCACGUACAUGUGCAUUUCCUGGUUAUUUGUGUAUAUUUCAUUUAUUUUAUGAAAUGAGCAUAUAUUGUUGUGACAAAACAUAUUGGCUUAA